rnacentral:rRNA from 1 species
GAUGAACGCUGGCGGCGUGCCUAAUACAUGCAAGUCGAGCGAACGGACGAGAAGCUUGCUUCUCUGAUGUUAGCGGCGGACGGGUGAGUAACACGUGGAUAACCUACCUAUAAGACUGGGAUAACUUCGGGAAACCGUAGCUAAUACCGGAUAAUAUUUUGAACCGCAUGGUUCAAAAGUGAAAGACGGUCUUGCUGUCACUUAUAGAUGGAUCCGCGCUGCAUUAGCUAGUUGGUAAGGUAACGGCUUACCAAGGCAACGAUGCAUAGCCGACCUGAGAGGGUGAUCGGCCACACUGGAACUGAGACACGGUCCAGACUCCUACGGGAGGCAGCAGUAGGGAAUCUUCCGCAAUGGGCGAAAGCCUGACAGAGCAACGCCGCGUGAGUGAUGAAGGUCUUCGGAUCGUAAAACUCUGUUAUUAGGGAAGAACAUAUGUGUAAGUAUCUGUGCACAUCUUGACGGUACCUAAUCAGAAAGCCACGGCUAACUACGUG